CUGGAACCUUGUUGCAGAUUGAGCAGUACUGCAGCGUGUGACAUGUGCCUUCCCGCGCUGCAACAACUCCAUGGAUGGGCAGCUCUUCCCUUGGACCUGCUGCCAUUGCUCUGAGUAGACCUCCUGGACUCCCCCCUGAAAAUGUGGUCAGCAUUAGUAAGAGCUGACCUCACUUGCGUAUAAGAAGAAGAGCAGCUGAAUGUCUGUUUGGGAAUUUCCUGCCUCACCUUCUCUUUUCGGGGAGGCCAGAGCCACGAGGAGCCAGCAGCGCUGUUGCCUUCGGGGGCUCGCUCCAUACCUUUGCUCAAGGCCAGCUUGGCUCUUCCCUGACCUUUUGCCCGGAAGGCAGCGUCCCAGCGCUGAUCUGUUGGAACUAUCCUGUUAUUUAAACGCAAAGAAAUUGUAGUCCCCCAGCAGUCUUGAUCAAGAGGAUACAUAAACUCCCUGUCACUCUCAGAGGUCCUCCCAGCUAUGCAGCUGCCUGUCAUGGAAUACAUGGUAAAAUUCCUCUUAUUAUCCAUUCCUCAUCCUCAGAUAAAUGUUAGGCCAAGAUCCACAAAUGUGAUUUGCUCGCCUACGUUUUAAGCAUUCCAUGAAGAAGCUUGCAAUUAAAC
rnacentral:lncRNA from 1 species